UACGUAGGGGGCAAGCGUUGUCCGGAAUUAUUGGGCGUAAAGCACGUGUAGGCGGCCAGAUAAGUCCGCUGUGAAAUCUCGAGGCUCAACUUCGAGCUGUCGGUGGAAACUGUCUGGCUAGAGUCCGGAAGAGGAGAAUGGAAUUCCUGGUGUAGCGGUGAAAUGCGCAGAUAUCAGGAAGAACACCCGUGGCGAAGGCGGUUCUCUGGGACGGUACUGACGCUGAGACGCGAAAGCGUGGGGAGCGAACAGG
rnacentral:rRNA from 1 species